GACGAACGCUGGCGGCGUGCCUAAUACAUGCAAGUAGAACGCACAGUUUAUACCGUAGCUUGCCACACCAUAGACUGUGAGUUGCGAACGGGUGAGUAACGCGUAGGUAACCUGCCUGGUAGCGGGGGAUAACUAUUGGAAACGAUAGCUAAUACCGCAUAAUAUUAAUUAUUGCAUGAUAAUUAAUUGAAAGGUGCAAUUGCACCACUACCAGAUGGACCUGCGUUGUAUUAGCUAGUAGGUGAGGUGACGGCUCACCUAGGCGACGAUACAUAGCCGACCUGAGAGGGUGAUCGGCCACACUGGGACUGAGACACGGCCCAGACUCCUACGGGAGGCAGCAGUAGGGAAUCUUCGGCAAUGGACGAAAGUCUGACCGAGCAACGCCGCGUGAGUGAAGAAGGUUUUCGGAUCGUAAAGCUCUGUUGUAAGAGAAGAACGGGGGUGAGAGUGGAAAGUUCACACUGUGACGGUAUCUUACCAGAAAGGGACGGCUAACUACGUG
rnacentral:rRNA from 1 species